rnacentral:lncRNA from 1 species
AGUUUUGAGCGUCAAUCAUUCAUACAAAUGACUGACACUCAUACUCUCCUCAUACAGAAUGUAAUACAGUAUUAUUAAACUGAAUCAGCAACACUGGCCAUGACUUAGAGAUACGCUAUUAUAACUGUUCUGCUGUAUAUUUCUUACCUGUUAACUGUUGCAGUUGUGGCCGUAUGCAGGGGCCAAAAAGUCGCCGUCCACACGCCAUUUGGUGAAAGCGAUGGAUUUCCUGUAAAUCAAGUGUGAUACCAGCAAAAUGUUAUUUGACUUGUUUAGAACGGCUACCUGUUUUGGCAAAAUUAGCAAAAUAUCUCAUAAUCCUCUUAGACAAGUCAACCUCUUGUGCCGUGUAAGACUUAGCGGGAUUCAAGGGCUCUCCGAAGACAUAAUUGAUUUCUUCCCCGUGCAUUACACCAGUCCACGAGGGCCAUGGGUUAGACACCUGAAAAUAAUAUAAAAUACCUUUAAAUUGAAUCAUGUGAAUGGUAUUUAGAAAAAUAUAAAUAUAUUAUACAGGGUGUUUAAGUAUAAAAUAUUUGAUAAAUAUUGGGGUUUACGAAAAUUCUGAAACAUGGAGGCCUGGAGAACAUGAACUGGAGUUCAUACACUUCUUUUUAUACUUCCAUGGUCAGGACUAUUGCUGUCGUAGUUUUACAGUACAAUGAAUCUGAUGGGGCAGGAAAUAUAUACUCACUGACAUAAGAAGUGUUAUACCCAGAAAGAAUGAUUUCUUUACCUAUGACUAUAUUUAAACCAUGCUAUGAUAAGAACAACAAUUUUUUAUCUUUGUUUUUUUUACCAAUGUUAAAAUUUUAUUUCUUAGUUUUUGUGACGAAAGCUUUUUUCUGAAAGGUAAUUAGUACAUGUAUUUUUAAUGUUAAGCAUAACAAAAUGCCUCGAAUCCGAAGACCUUAAAAUUAUCACCAUGUUAGCAAUUUUGAUAGGGGUAGAAUUACUGCCUAUAGCGAGACGUUGGUUUUUCCUAUCACGAAAUUGGCCCCCGUGGUAAUGGUACUGCAAUGACGACAAUGCGUGUGUCUCGCAUAUGCAUAGAGGAAAAAAGAGGAACGCGAACUUAGAACAUUAAAUACACAUUAGGCAUUCAAUAUUCUAAGAACAUGAAGAAGAUCAACUGUGCAACCGAAGCGUACCAGAGAGUAGUCAAGAUACUUUAUACGUUACUGUUUUGCGGUGGCUAUCCCGUUCACUAGAAUUAAAUCCCAGCUAACAUGUGUGGGAAGGAGACUAAUCACUUGGCACCAUCCGCCACACACUCUGGCACGGCUAAUUCACAAAGUUCGAGUUGCUUGGUCCUAUAGUGUAUUCAACUGCGGGGUCGCCAAUUACAUUAUUCAUUUUUUCUUAUUAUUUGUCUUGCAAAUGUUAUUGUUUCAUUCUUGCUGUAAAGGCGGCCCUACACUGAGGCAACUAAUGGCAAUUAGGCCGCAUGCGGCGCGAUCGCAUGCUGCAAGCUGCCAGAAGUCGAAGAAGUUUAAGAUAUGGGAAGAAUUGUCAAAAAAAUAUGAAUGUUCUAUAAAGGAUCUAAAGGACAAAAUAAAAAAUCUGCGUACGACUUUUCAUCGAAAAAGAAAAAAGAAGUCCGGGUCAGGCAGAACCGAACCAUGGGUGUACUUUGAAUCAUUGACUUUCCUUUUGGAGGUAGAUGUACCAAAACAAAGUGUGUCAACUGAGGAAAAUUUUGAUGAGACGAGGAUGAAACUGAUCAAGAAAGCGACAGGUCUGUAUCUCCAGGACCCAGCACACGACGCAACCCAGACCAGCACAAGCAGCCUGCAGUAGAAAAUUCCGCUUCCAAAAAUUAAAAACGCAGGUAUCAGAGCGAACAUUAAGAAGCUGAUUAAGAAAGCGAAUUAGAGCCAAACAGACCUGAAUCUGAAGUAUCUGUAGGAACCAGCACACAACGCAACCCAGAUCAGCACAAGCAACGUGCAGAAAAACAGUCCGCUCCCAAGAAUAAAAAACGAAGGUAUCAGAGUGAACGUCAAGAAGAAGCUGACCGAAGAGCAGAUGAGGCUUAUAAAAUACUGCAAACAGCAGAUGAAUUUUAUAUACGGUCUGGUCUCACAUGUGGGCAAUGAGUUGCGUAAACUGACCUCAACCUCGUACCAAAUUGCGAAAAAUUACAUAAAUCAAAUUUU